rnacentral:rRNA from 1 species
AGCUCCAAUAGCGUAUAUUUAAGUUGCUGCGGUUAAAAAGCUCGUAGUCGGAUUUCGGGUGGUGCCUACCGGUCCGCCUUUGGUGUGUACUGGUAGGCGCCACCUUUCUGCCGAGGACGGGUUUCUGGGCUUAACUGUCUGGAGCCCGGAGUCGGCGAUGUCACUUUGAGUAAAUUAGGGUGUUUAAAGCAGGCUUAUGCUCUGAAUACACUAGCAUGGGAUGACACGAUAGGACUUCGGUCUAUCUUGUCGGUCUGUAGAUCGGAGUAAUGAUUAAGAGGGACAGUCGGGGGCAUUCGUAUUUCGUAGUCAGAGGUGAAAUUCUUGGAUUUACUGAAGACUAACUACUGCGAAAGCAUUUGCCAAGGACGUUUUCA